GCGACCGGGGAUCCCAUGUGAGUCAGCACCAGACACGCUUCCACUUCUCCUGGACCUGUUCGCUACCUACUCUCCCUAGAUUCUACAACUCCACCCCUUCUCCUGCACCUCAGCCAUGGGAAGGAAGUAAAUUGGAUAAAAGCACAACAAAAGCAGAGAGUGCUUGGCUCUUCUGAACGUGAUAUGGCUUUGACCACAGGGAGAAAAUGUCAAUCACUGGGUGAUUUUAAAGCAACUCAGCAAUGAUUAAAGCCACAAGAGAUCAGUGAGAGAGGAAGAAGAAUUAAGAACAGAGAAAAGAAAUUCAAAGAAUAAUAUGAAAAAUAGAUAAAAAUGGAACAGGGAGAGGAGGCAAGAGAAAUACAGAAAAUUCACAGUAGAAAGGAAAGGAAAGCAACUUAGAGGAAUGACUGUGUAGAAAACAAGUAAGAAUGAAGAAAGAGAAGCCAGUUGAAAUUGCAGAGACAAGCAAAAAUAAAACAAGAUCUCUGGCACCCACAAACCCCACUCUUGAAGAUGACCUACUGUGAAAUGGAUGUACCCCAGUCCUCCACCAACCAGCCCAUCAAGGAUCUCUACCAUUGCGUGAUCUCACCUAUAUGUGGAAUCUUAAAAAGUCAAACUCAUAAAAGCAGAGAAGAGAAUGGUGGUACCAAGGACUGAGGUUGGGAGAAAUGGGGUGCAAAGUUUCCAUUCUGCAAGCUGAGAAGUUCUGGAGAUUGGAUGAACAGCACCAUGACUGUAGUUAAUAAUGCUGUGCUGUGGACUUGAAAUGUGUUAAGACAGUAGAUCUUAAGUGUUCUUAUCACACAAAGAUUUUAACUAUGUGAGAUGAUGGAUCUGUCAGCUAGCUUGAUUGUAUCAAUCAACUCAUAGUGUACACAUCCAUCAAACAUUACACUGUACACCUUAAACAUAUGCAGUUUUUAUUUGGCAGGUAUUCAUCAAUAAGCUGGAGAAAUAAUUGCUAUCCUUUAUCUUCAAGCAAGGUGAAGCUGAUACUCUCCAGCUGAAGCCCUUCGUUCUGGCCUCAUUGUGAGGACUGUCUGUGUUCCUGUGAGGAACACAAGUUUUCUUGCCAGCUCAGUCUUAGUCAAGUCUUUGAAAAUGUUGUCUACGCCAUUUGGAAAAGGCAGAUUACAUUUAAACUGAGUUUUCCAAACUGCUGCUCGGGACUCAUUAGUGCUUCUCAAAAUCAUUUUAGUAGGUUUCCAACCAGCACUUUUUAAAUAAAUGAAAGCAGGCUAGAGAAAAUAUGAUAGGGCACUGAAGAA